UACGUAGGGUGCAGGCGUUAAUCGGAAUUACUGGGCGUAAAGCGUGCGUAGGCGGUUUGUUAAGACAGGUGUGAAAUCCCCGGGCUUAACCUGGGAACUGCGCUUGUUACUGGCAGACUGGAGUGUGGCAGAGGGGGGUGGAAUUCCAGGUGUAGCAGUGAAAUGCGUAGAUAUCUGGAGGAACACCGAUGGCGAAGGCAGCCCCCUGGGCUAACACUGACGCUGAUGCACGAAGGCGUGGGGAGCAAACAGG
rnacentral:rRNA from 1 species